CGUUGUCAUUCUCUAAAUAAAUUUCCAUAUGGUUCAGACUUGAUGUGGCUGAUGCAACUUCCCACAGCAUUUCAGGGCCAUGGCAGAAACCUAGCAACAUACCAAGACAUUGCAUCAGAUCUUUUGUAGGACGAAAGUCCUAAAUAGGAGUGGUGCUUUCUAUCUCUCCAUGGUGAUGUGACCUGACACAGGACUGAUGGAAGUCACUCUUGACAUGCGAGGGAGUUAAUCAGCACUACAUGGAUGUUUCCAUGAGCCAGAGCAUGAGAUGAUUGUAAUCUAGUCCCACAGCUCAAAGAUCCAGGGCAAGACAAAGGUCUCUCAUCUCACUUCCAGCCCUCUGCAACAUGGAAAAAACUUGUUAAAGAAGGAACAAUCCCAGAGCCCUCCAUGUUUACAAGAAGACAGAAAUCGAGCUACGCUGGAAAUUUGUCCCCUUUCAUCAACAACCACAGUGAGCUGUGGUGACAUUUACAAGCUGCUGCUCUGAGCUGCCGAGUGUUUAUAUGGAGGACAAUAGACACCAAGUUCCCACCAAUUCCUGUUGUUCCACACUGCUUCCAGUUGCAGGAAUUCGAAGGGGGGAGAAAGAGUGAGGGGAAGUUCAGAAAGGGGGGGCAAAGAGGGGAGGAAGA